rnacentral:rRNA from 1 species
AUUGAACGCUGGCGGCAUGCCUUACACAUGCAAGUCGAACGGUAACGCGGGGCAACCUGGCGACGAGUGGCGAACGGGUGAGUAAUGCAUCGGAACGUGCCCAGUAGUGGGGGAUAGCCCGGCGAAAGCCGGAUUAAUACCGCAUACGACCUACGGGUGAAAGGGGGGGAUCGCAAGACCUCUCGCUAUUGGAGCGGCCGAUGUCAGCUUAGGUAGUUGGUGGGGUAAAGGCCCACCAAGCCUUCGAUCUGUAGCUGGUCUGAGAGGACGACCAGCCACACUGGGACUGAGACCCGGCCCAGACUCCUACGGGAGGCAGCAGUGGGGAAUUUUGGACAAUGGGCGCAAGCCUGAUCCAGCCAUGCCGCGUGCGGGAAGAAGGCCUUCGGGUUGUAAACCGCUUUUGUCAGGGAAGAAACGCUCUGGGCUAAUACCUCGGGGUAAUGACGGUACCUGAAGAAUAAGCACCGGCUAACUACGUGCCAGCCGCCGCGGUAA